rnacentral:tRNA from 1 species
UUAACCGAAACCAAAGGAGGAGGUAUACUACUGUUAAUAGUAAAAAUGGAAAUAUUUAUUUCCCGGUUAAA